rnacentral:rRNA from 1 species
AACUAACGCUGGCGGCGUGCCUAACACAUGCAAGUCGUACGAGAAAGCCGGCUUCGGCUGGUGAGUAAAGUGGCGCACGGGUGAGUAACGCGUGGAUAAUCUGCCCUUAAGUGUGGAAUAACGUACCGAAAGGUGCGCUAAUACCGCAUAAUGCCUGGCAACACAAGUUGUCCGGCCAAAAGAAGGCCUCUGUUUACAAGCUUUCGCUUCAGGAUGAGUCCGCGUACCAUUAGCUUGUUGGUGGGGUAAUGGCCUACCAAGGCUGCGAUGGUUAGCUGGUCUGAGAGGAUGAUCAGCCACACUGGAACUGAGACACGGUCCAGACUCCUACGGGAGGCAGCAGUGAGGAAUAUUGCGCAAUGGGGGCAACCCUGACGCAGCAACGCCGCGUGAGUGAGGAAGGUUUUCGGACUGUAAAGCUCUGUCGAGCGGGAAGAAGUGUACCAUGGCUAAUAUCCAUGAUAUUUGACGGUACCGCUAGAGG